rnacentral:tRNA from 1 species
GGGCCCAUACCCCGACAAUGUUGGUAAAACCCCCUCCCCUACUA